rnacentral:rRNA from 1 species
AUACGUAGGAUCCGAGCGUUGUCCGGAUUUACUGGGCGUAAAGGGUGCGUAGGCGGCUUGUUAAGUCUCAUGUGAAAUCUCCCGGCUUAACUGGGAGGGGUCAUGGGAUACUGGCAGGCUUGAGGUCAGUAGAGGAGAGCGGAAUUCCCGGAGUAGCGGUGAUAUGCGUAGAUACCGGGAGGAACACCAGAGGCGAAGGCGGCUCUCUGGGCUGCACCUGACGCUGAUGCACGAAAGCGUGGGGAGCGAACCGGAUUAGAAACCCAAGUAGUCC